UGGGGAAUUUUGGACAAUGGGGGCAACCCUGAUCCAGCCAUGCCGCGUGAGUGAAGAAGGCCUUCGGGUUGUAAAGCUCUUUCGGCGGGGACGAAACGGUUCGUGACAACACCACGGACUAAUGACGGUACUCGCAGAAGAAGCACCGGCUAACUACGUGCCAGCAGCCGCGGUAAUACGUAGGGUGCAGGCGUUAAUCGGAAUUACUGGGCGUAAAGCGUGCGCAGGCGGCUCCUUAAGUCAGAUGUGAAAUCCCCGGGCUUAACCUGGGAACUGCGUUUGAAACUGAGGGGCUAGAGUGUGGAAGAGGGGGGUGGAAUUCCAGGUGUAGCAGUGAAAUGCGUAGAGAUCUGGAGGAACACCGAUGGCGAAGGCAGCCCCCUGGGCUAACACUGACGCUCAUGCACGAAAGCGUGGGGAGCAAACAGG
rnacentral:rRNA from 1 species